GAUUCUGGCUCAGAACGAACGCUGGCGGCAGGUCUUAGGCAUGCAAGUCGAACGGAUGACAAGAGAGCUUGCUCUCUUGAAGUCAGUGGCGCACGAGUGAGUAACGCGUGGGAAACUGCCCUUCACUGGGGAAUAACGUUUGGAAACGAACGCUAAUACCGCAUACGCCCGCAAGGGGAAAGAUUUAUCGGUGAUGGAUGUGCCCGCGUUGGAUUAGCUAGUUGGUGGGGUAAUGGCCUACCAAGGCGAUGAUCCAUAGCUGGUCUGAGAGGACGAUCAGCCACGCUGGAACUGAGACACGGUCCAGACUCCUACGGGAGGCAGCAGCUAAGAAUAUUGGGCAAUGGAGGAAACUCUGACCCAGCCAAUGCCGCGUGAAUGAAGAAGGCCUUCGGGUUGUAAAGUUCUUUUAGUCAUGAAGAUGAUGACAGUAGUGACAGAAAAAGCACCGGCUAACUUCGUGCCAGCCGCAGC
rnacentral:rRNA from 1 species